rnacentral:rRNA from 1 species
CCGACCUUGAAAUACCACCCUUUAAUGUUUGAUGUUCUAACGUUGACCCGUAAUCCGGGUUGCGGACAGUGUCUGGUGGGUAGUUUGACUGGGGCGGUCUCCUCCUAAAGAGUAACGGAGGAGCACGAAGGUUGGCUAAUCCUGGUCGGACAUCAGGAGGUUAGUGCAAUGGCAUAAGCCAGCUUGACUGCGAGCGUGACGGCGCGAGCAGGUGCGAAAGCAGGUCAUAGUGAUCCGGUGGUUCUGAAUGGAAGGGCCAUCGCUCAACGGAUAAAAGGUACUCCGGGGAUAACAGGCUGAUACCGCCCAAGAGUUCAUAUCGACGGCGGUGUUUGGCACCUCGAUGUCGGCUCAUCACAUCCUGGGGCUGAAGUAGGUCCCAAGGGUAUGGCUGUUCGCCAUUUAAAGUGGUACGCGAGCUGGGUUUAGAACGUCGUGAGACAGUUCGGUCCCUAUCUGCCGUGGGCGCUGGAGAACUGAGGGGGGCUGCUCCUAGUACGAGAGGACCGGAGUGGACGCAUCACUGGUGUUCGGGUUGUCAUGCCAAUGGCACUGCCCGGUAGCUAAAUGCGGAAGAGAUAAGUGCUGAAAGCAUCUAAGCACGAAACUUGCCCCGAGAUGAGUUCUCCCUGACUCCUUGAGAGUCCUGAAGGAACGUUGAAGACGACGACGUUGAUAGGCCGGGUGUGUAAGCGCAGCGAUGCGUUGAGCUAACCGGUACUAAUGAACCGUGAGGCUUAACCUU